AGAGUUUGAUCCUGGCUCAGAGUGAACGCUGGCGGUAGGCCUAACACAUGCAAGUCGAACGGCAGCACAGUAAGAGCUUGCUCUUACGGGUGGCGAGUGGCGGACGGGUGAGGAAUACAUCGGAAUCUACUCUGUCGUGGGGGAUAACGUAGGGAAACUUACGCUAAUACCGCAUACGACCUACGGGUGAAAGCAGGGGACCUUCGGGCCUUGCGCGAUUGAAUGAGCCGAUGUCGGAUUAGCUAGUUGGCGGGGUAAAGGCCCACCAAGGCGACGAUCCGUAGCUGGUCUGAGAGGAUGAUCAGCCACACUGGAACUGAGACACGGUCCAGACUCCUACGGGAGGCAGCAGUGGGGAAUAUUGGACAAUGGGCGCAAGCCUGAUCCAGCCAUACCGCGUGGGUGAAGAAGGCCUUCGGGUUGUAAAGCCCUUUUGUUGGGAAAGAAAUCCAGCUGGUUAAUACCCGGUUGGGAUGACGGUACCCAAAGAAUAAGCACCGGCUAACUUCGUGCCAGCAGCCGCGGUAAUACGGAGGGUGCGAGCGUUAAUCGGAAUUACUGGGCGUAAAGCGGACGCAGGCGGUUUGUUAAGCUAGAUGUGAAAGCCCCGGGCUCAACCUGGGAUGGUCAUUUAGAACUGGCAGACUAGAGUCUUGGAGAGGGGAGUGGAAUUCCAGGUGUAGCGGUGAUAUGCGUAGAUAUCUGGAGGAACAUCAGUGGCGAAGGCGACUCCCUGGCCAAAGACUGACGCUCAUGUCCGAAAGUGUGGGUAGCGAACAGGAUUAGAUACCCUGGUAGUCCACACCGUAAACGCUGUCUACUAGCUGUGUGUGAAUUUAAUUCGUGCGUAGCGAAGCUAACGCGCUAAGUAGACCGCCUGGGGAGUACGGCCGCAAGGUUAAAACUCAAAGGAAUUGACGG
rnacentral:rRNA from 1 species